GAUCCUGGCUCAGAUUGAACGCUGGCGGAAUGCUUUACACAUGCAAGUCGAGCGGCAGCGCGGGGGCAACCCUGGCGGCGAGCGGCGAACGGGUGAGUAACAUAUCGGAACGUACCCAGUCGUGGGGGAUAACUAUCCGAAAGGAUAGCUAAUACCGCAUACGUCCUGAGGGAGAAAGCGGGGGAUCGCAAGACCUCGCGCGAUUGGAGCGGCCGAUAUCGGAUUAGCUAGUUGGUGGGGUAAAGGCUCACCAAGGCGACGAUCCGUAGCGGGUCUGAGAGGACGACCCGCCACACUGGAACUGAGACACGGUCCAGACUCCUACGGGAGGCAGCAGUGGGGAAUAUUGGACAAUGGGCGAAAGCCUGAUCCAGCAAUGCCGCGUGUGUGAAGAAGGCCUGAGGGUUGUAAAGCACUUUCAAUCGUGAAGAAAAGUUGCAGGCUAAUACCCUGUGACCUUGACGUUAACGAUACAAGAAGCACCGGCUAACUCCGUG
rnacentral:rRNA from 1 species